rnacentral:lncRNA from 1 species
UCGAUGAGCUUCUCAUACAUUACAAUCACAGCACUUAAAGAGAGAGUACGGAUGAGAAAAGAAAGAAAAACAAAGCAAAAGGAAGAAAUAUGAACAUGGAAAUGGAGCUUUCAAUUAAUGAAACUUCAACAAUUACAAUAGUUUAAACCAACUCGAAUGAAACAACAAUUCAAAGCAUGAAACGAACAGCUACAAAAAAAAAAUAGGAAUUAACCAACUUGACUGAACCACUGCCGAAAUUUGAGCUCCAGAAACAAACUUGACCCCAACUUGAAUUUUCAAGUCAAGUUCUCUUGAGGAAAACAGAACAUCAAAAGAAAGAAGAAGGCACUAAGACAUCUGCGUUUAGUAAUUUUGUUGUUGAUUUUUUCUCUAGAUAAUUAAGUAAAAACUUGAAUAGAAAAUAAAUUCAAAUCAUUUUUUUAUUAUAUGUAUUCUGGAAAAUGAAAGAAGCAGACUGAAGAAGAUGAGAGCUCGAACAAAAAUGACGACUCCAAAACCCUAGAAAUUAUUAGGCUAAGUUGUUGAAGAUUUAUUUGAUUUUUCCUCUGAUGUUUUCUUCUUUUUUAUAACACGCUGAACUUAAUAUAUAUUUUUCAAAAAUUCUCGAAAAUCUGCUAAAAACUCCGAAAAUCUCUCAAGUUUUUGAACAAUUUUGGGACAAAUGAAGCGCGUGGAUUGAUUCACAUCUAUUUGCGGCUCCCAUUCAUCCAUCAAUUGCCAUUUUGCACUCGAAAUCAUGUGAUUUGGGAGAUAAAAACUCUCUGACAAAUCCGUUAGGAAUGAAAUGACACGGGGGGGAGGGGGGGGGGGGCAUUUUGAGGAACUCGGG